GACCUCUUAGCUCAGUGGUAGAGCGUGAGAUUCCAGACCUCAAGGUCAUCCGUUCAAAUCGGGUAGGGGUCA
rnacentral:tRNA from 1 species